rnacentral:rRNA from 1 species
UACGUAGGGUGCAAGCGUUGUCCGAAAUUAUUGGGCGUAAAGAGCUCGUAGGCGGUUUGUUGCGUCGGCUGUGAAAUCCCGCGGCUCAACCGCGGGUCUGCAGUCGAUACGGGCAGGCUAGAGUUCGGUAGGGGAGACUGGAAUUCCUGGUGUAGCGGUGAAAUGCGCAGAUAUCAGGAGGAACACCGAUGGCGAAGGCAGGUCUCUGGGCCGAUACUGACGCUGAGGAGCGAAAGCGUGGGGAGCGAACAGG